AAGAUGAAGGCGAUGCACGGCUUCUUCGAGGAGGGCGACAAGGUCAAGGUCACCCUGCGCUUCCGCGGCCGCGAGAUGGCGCACCAGGACCUCGGCGUGAAGGUGCUGGAGCGCGUCAAGGUCGAUACCGUCGACGUCGCCAAGGUCGAGAGCGACUGGCAGCUCGAAGGCCGCCAGAUGGUCAUGGUGCUCGCGCCUCGAUAAGGCGCGGGCGUCACGAAGACGUGAAAAAGGGCGCACUGCCGGUGCGCCCUUUUUCGUUCAGCCCAGCAGGCGUUUCAACUUGCGGA
rnacentral:misc_RNA from 1 species